CCGCAGCCUCGCUCCAACAGAAAUCGCCUUCUCACCGUCGCACCAGAGGCCGCUCUCACCGUCGCCUCUCCGCCGUCGCCACUCCACUCCUCUGCCAGUGAUCUUUCCCCCUUUCUCUCUUGCUCUCUGUUGCCCUCGUUUUCUCCCUAAAUCAGUGCCCUAAUCUGUUGAUCCUGAAUUGAGGAAUGUUGGGACAUCAUGGUCUGUGGAGGGAUUGUGAAUGGACUUGCAGGAGUGCUCAUCUUUUGGCCAAGUCUGAAGCGAAUCCGAGCUAAGACGAGGAAGUUCUAGCUAUGACCCGACCAAGCUCCGGCUAGGCCGCUGCUACUUUCCCGACCAAGCUCCGGCAAGUCCGAUGAGUUGCCCAUAAUACCCCUGGUUGGAAUUAGAAGAAUCAGAUAUAAAUUGUGUUGGCCAAGGGUAUUGUUGGCCUUGGAAAAGAUUGUGGUUUGGGCUAGAAAGCCUAACCGCCAACUUGGAAGCUCGCAUCUAGCUCCACCUCGCACGUCCUUUCCAUAUCACCAGCUGGACCCAGCCAUCCGUCGAUCAGCUCCAUGUGUCAGCCAUCCAAGGAGCCAUGUCGCCCGACUUUGUUGGGAGUGGAUCGAGUAUCACGCGGGGCCACCUCCUUCUCUCGUGUGCUACCUUGCCACGCACGCACCACCUCGCCACUCUCCCCUAUUAUUGUGUGCUAAAGGGGUCAUGCAAUGGUUGCCAGAAACGUUGGUUUCUAGGGUUGCCUCUUCCCCAUCUGAGAGAGACCUCACGUGCGCCGCAAAGACCCUAGAAGAUGAUACUGCAAUCCGAUCGUCCAUUUGUUGAUAUGGAUUCAGGUAAUGAUCAACCUAAAGGAGGAUGUUGCUUGGUCAAGUUUAAGCGUAGAGAGCAAUGAGUAUGUGAUAAUUUUCAGGUUUCUAUGUGAAUAGUGAGUCAAUCCAAAGAUGGACUUGUUAUUUGACAGAGCUAAUUAUUUAUAUUCAUUGUUGACCAAGAAUACCAUUUGCAGUUAUUAUUUCAAUCCAAAGAUUGGAUAUUAAUGUUGCACCGGUACCUUGUGAUGG